rnacentral:rRNA from 2 species
GAGGGAGCUGCCGAAGGUGGGACCGAUAACUGGGGUGAAGUCGUAACAAGGUAGCCGUAUCGGAAGGUGCGGCUGGAUCACCUCCUUUCUAAGGAA